rnacentral:rRNA from 1 species
UAGGGAAUAUUGGGCAAUGGGCGCAAGCCUGACCCAGCAACGCCGCGUGAAGGAAGAAGGUCUUCGGAUUGUAAACUUUUGUUGUCAGGGAAGAAGAAGGACAGUACCUGACGAGGAAGCCCCGGCUAACUACGUGCCAGCAGCCGCGGUAAUACGUAGGGGGCGAGCGUUGUCCGGAAUUACUGGGCGUAAAGGGCGCGUAGGCGGCAUAUUAAGUUAGAUGUGAAAUUCCCGGGCUUAACCUGGGCGUUGCAUUUAAAACUGAUAAGCUUGAGUGCCGGAGAGGAAAGCGGAAUUCCUAGUGUAGCGGUGAAAUGCGUAGAUAUUAGGAGGAACACCAGUGGCGAAGGCGGCUUUCUGGACGGUAACUGACGCUGAGGCGCGAAAGCGUGGGUAGCAA